rnacentral:rRNA from 1 species
UACGAAGGGGGCUAGCGUUGUUCGGAAUCACUGGGCGUAAAGGGCGCGUAGGCGGCCGAUCAAUUCGGGGGUGAAAGCCUGUGGCUCAACCACAGAAUUGCCUUCGAUACUGUUUGGCUUGAGACCGGAAGAGGUUAGUGGAACUGCGAGUGUAGAGGUGAAAUUCGUAGAUAUUCGCAAGAACACCAGUGGCGAAGGCGGCUGACUGGUCCGGUUCUGACGCUGAGGCGCGAAAGCGUGGGGAGCAAACAGG